rnacentral:piRNA from 2 species
UGGGGAUCUCUGAGAUGCAGUUGUGCCUG